UACGGAGGGAGCUAGCGUUGUUCGGAAUUACUGGGCGUAAAGCGCGCGUAGGCGGCUUUGUAAGUUAGAGGUGAAAGCCCGGGGCUCAACCCCGGAAUUGCCUUUAAGACUGCAUCGCUUGAAUCCGGGAGAGGUGAGUGGAAUUCCGAGUGUAGAGGUGAAAUUCGUAGAUAUUCGGAAGAACACCAGUGGCGAAGGCGGCUCACUGGACCGGCAUUGACGCCUGGAGGUGCGAAAGCGUGGGGAGCAAACAGG
rnacentral:rRNA from 1 species